rnacentral:rRNA from 1 species
GCACUGACUGGUUGAAGUAUUCUUUACUUAUUUAUAAAUUUAUGGUAAGUACUUUUAAGUCCAUCUUUUUGAAAAUGUUAGAUCUUCAGGCGGAAAAUAUUUUUUACUGUAACUCGCCUUAAUUCUUACUUAUUUGCUGCACUUUGAUUUGUAUUAAUCUUUUUAAAAAUGUUAAAUCCACCUUAUGGUGAAUUCACGACAACGGUAUACAAGCUUUAAAAGUAAGUAGACUAUUCUUGGUGGCUAUCAUUUAUAUGGUAAGUUCCCCUAAAAUACUACAAUCAGCCGCCAUAAUAUUUAAGUUUGAACCUAAUGAUAGCUUUAGUCCUUGUUUUAGAUGUGUUUCGCUCCGAAUAAUUGGGUCUCUAAUCCAGGUUUAAUUUCUAGAGUUUGGGGUAUUCAAAAAUAAAAUUAAAUUUUAGUAAUUAUUAGUAUUUCACCACAUAAUAAUUCCUAAAUAUCAAGAUAAUUGAAAAUAAAACAAUUACUAUAAAUUAGCCUAAUAGGUAUGACCGCGGUUGCUGGCACCUAAUAAACCUAGGCUAUAUAAUUAUCUAAAUUUAAAUUUCUUUAAUGUUGUAAUAUUUUUAACUGGAUAAAUUUAUAGCAUUCCAUAUUAAAUUAGACUAUACACUUAUAGCUUCAUCAUAUUAAAGUGGGGUAUCUAUGGGGGUAUUUAACCAUUUUAGA